UGAAGUCUACACGAAUGGAAAUAUAUAUUC
rnacentral:piRNA from 1 species